rnacentral:lncRNA from 10 species
CGGCACGCAGGUCCCGCCUCCUGAGGACGGGUGAGUUCGCUGCUACCUGAGAUAGUGGUCGGGAGAGUUUGAGGGUUUGCGAAAGAGUUUACUGAUCGAUCCGAAUAAAAGUGAAAUGUGUGGUCGGGCGCGGUGGCCCACGCCUGUAAUCCCAGCACUGUGUGAGGCGGGGGCGAGCGGAUCACCUGGGGUCAGGAGUUCGAGACCAGCCUGGCCAACAUGGCGAAACCCCGUCUCAAUUAAAAAUACAAACAUUAGCCGGGCAUGGUGGCGGGCGCCUGUAAUCCCAGCUACUCGCCUGUAAUCCCAGCUGAGGAAGGAAAAUCGCUAGAACCCGGGAGGCGGAGGCUGCAGUGAGCCGAGAUCUUGCCAUUGCACUCCAGCCUGGGCGACAAGAGCGAAACUCCGUCUCAAAAAAAGAAAGAAAAUAAAAAGUGAAAUGUGGAUGUAACAACGCACUUUUAAAAAAAGUCUAAACAUCUGAGGAAUGUGUCUGUGCUUGCAGUGUCCAGCCAGCACAGAGACUGCACUCAAGGGAUGUGGGAACGGCUGAUUGAACGUGAACUGCGGUCAUUAAAUCUUUUAUGUCUGUGUUAAUAUCUACAAAUAAGCCUUAAUUUCUGUAGUUUCUGCAUAUCUCACACGGUUCCUGGCAAAUUGAAGAGUGUUUCAUGAAUUCAGGACUUUAUUGUGUUUGCUGUGAAUCAGUUUGUUUUGUACUGACGAUGAUGUUGGCUAACUCCCUUGUAACUAGUACUUAUUUGAAAUAAUGUCCUCGGGAUUAUUUUAAGCAAUGUUUAAGUAUGAAAUCAUUUCAUUCUCCUAACAUCUCAAGGAAUAUACUAUUAUAUUCUACUUUACAAAAGGGGAAACUGAGGAACGGGGAAGUUAAGUGGAAGCUAAGUGGAAGAAUCCAGAUAAUUGACCUCUCCUUCUAUUGGUAUGCAAUUGCUAGAGCAAUGAUAGUCCUCCGGUAGAGCCUUAGACAUUGUGUUUAUUGCAUUCCUGUUCCACCCACUGCAUUCCGGAUACUCCAACUUACUUCCAACACACAUAUGCAGGCGUCUCUAAAAUUCCGGAGAUAUGGUCACCAAUUAUUUUUAUGUGCGACAUGCUCAAAUCUUAAUAUAGUAAACGCUUGUAUAUUCAUAAACCAGCUUAAUAAAUGAAACAUUACCAUUCCUGUUGAAGAGCUUUGUGUAACCACCUUCCCAAUCACGACUACUCUCUGACUCUGAGAUAACUGCUCUUCUGAACUUGGUAUUCAUCGUUGCAAUGUAUGUCUUUAUAUUUCUGCUACAUAUGAAGAAAUGAAGAGAGCCAAAAAUGACAACAAAUGGAUUAACCCAACGAACUCCAUAAAUAUUUAUUUUUUCCCCUUUCUUUUCUCAGCUUCUUUAAAAGAUGUAAGAUGAUAUAAAGUAAUAAUAAUAACAAUGUACUGUUGGAUAUGUAAGAUAUAUAAAUGUAAUAAUGGCAAAAAUGGUGGGAGGGCGUCAGGCGUCAUGGCUCAUGCCUGUAAUCUCAGAACUUUGGGAGGCUGAGGCAGGCAGAACACUUGAGCCCAGGAGUUCAAGACCAGCCUAAGCAACAUGGGGAGACCCUGUCUUUCCAAAAAUACAAAAAUUAGCCCAACAUGGUGGCGUACACCAGUAGUCUCAGCUACUUGGGAGGUGGGAGGAUUGCUUGAGCCUAGGAGGUUGAGGCUGCAGUGAGCCAUGAUUGUGCCACUGCACUCCAACCUGGGUGACAGAGUGAGAUCUUGUCUUUAAAAAAAAAAUGGUGGGAGAGAAUGGAGCCAUAUAGAAUACAGUUUCUAUAUUUCACUGGAAUGAAGUUAGUAUAAAUCUAAAGUAGAUUCUGAUAAGAUGAAUACCAUAAGCUUUAGGGCAACUAUUAACUAAAGAAAUACAAUUAGAGAUUAUUAACACAAUUACAUGUUACACUAGAAAAUAUCCACUCAAUAUAAAAGGAAACAGGAAAGGAAGAAUACAGGAACAAUAAUAAAGAAACCUGUAGAAAACAAAAGGCAAAUGACAGACAUAAAUCCUACCAUAUCAAUAGCAAAAUUAAAUGUGAAUGCAUAAACAAUUGAAUCAAAAUGCAGAUAUUGUCAAACUGGAUUUUUAAAAGAUCAAAAUAUAUGUUAUCUGUAGAAGACACACAUUACAUUCAAAGAUACAAAUAUAUUCUAAGUAAAAGGGUGAAAAAAUAUAUAUCAGGCAAGUGGCCAAAAUAAGAAUGCUGGAAUUGCUAUACUAAUACCAGAAAAACAUAGAUUUUAAAAUGAAAAAUAUUAUUAGCUAUAAAGAGGAACAUUUUAUAAUUAAAGAAGAUCACUCCAUCAGGAAACACAAAAAUUGUAAACAUAUAUGCACAUAAUAAGACAGUACCAAAAUACAUGAAGACCACUAACAGAAUAGAAGGAUGAAAUAGAUAAUUCAAUAUUAGUUGAGGACGUCAAUAUACCACCGUUAGGGCUAGGCAUGGUAGCUCACACCUGUAAUCCCAGAGAUGUGAAAGGCCGAGAUGGGAGGGUUGCUUGAGGUCAGGAUUUGGAGACCAACCUGGGCAAUAUAGUGUCAUCUCAUCUCUUAAAAAAAAAAAAAAAGCCAGGUGUGGUGGUGUGUACCUGUAGUCCUAGCUAGUAGGAAGGCUGAGGCAGGAAGAUUACUUGAGCCCAGGAGUUCAAGGCUGCCACUACACACCAGCCGGAGUGACAGAAUGUGACCCUGUCUCUAAAUAAAUAAAUAAAAUAAAAAUUAAAAAUACACCGCUGUAAAUAGAUGAUAGAUCAAGUAGGCAGAAGAUUAACAAGGUUAUAAAAGACUUGAACAACACAAUAAAUUAACUAGACCUAGCAAACAUUUAUAGAACGCUCAACCCAACAAUAGCAAAAUAUUCUUCUCAAGUGCAUAUAAAACUUUCUCCAGGAUAGAUCAUAUGCUAGGUCUUUAAAAAAGAUAUUGAAACCCUCAUACAUUGCUGGUGGAAAUGUAAAAUGGUGCAGCCAUUUUGCAGGACAGUUUGAGGGUUCCUCAAAAUGUUAAACAUAGACUUACCCUGACCCAUCAUUUCAACAGCUGGAUGUAUACUCAAGAAAAAUAAAAACCUGUGUCCACACAAAAACAUAUACAAAGAUGUUCAUGGAAGUGUAUUUAUAAUACCAAAAAGUGGAAAUAACCCAAGUGUCAAUCUACUGAUGAAUAAACAAAAUCUAUCAAUGAAAUAUUAUUCAGCCAUAAAAAGAAAAUAAAGUGUUGAUAUAAGUGACAGCAUGGAUGACUCAUGAAAGCAUUAUGCAAAGUAAAAGAAGUCACUCACUGAAGAACAUGCUAUAUGAUUCCAUGUAUAUGAAAUGCCCAGAAUAAGCAAAUUUCUAGAGACAAAAAGUAGAUGAGUGGUUGUCUAGGGCUGAGAAGGUUCCUGAGAAUGGGGAAUGAGUGUAAUGUUUUUCUUUAGGAGGAGGAUAAAAAUCUUCUAAAAUUGGAUUAUGGUAGUGGUUGCACAGCUUUGUGGAUAUAGUAAAAACCAUUGAAUUGUAUAUAUUAAAUAAAUAUAAUUAAGGUAUGUGAAUUAUAAUUCAAUAAAACUGUUAAAAUUACAAAUUUUGUGCUUUUCAAUUGGAAAAUUCAUCCAAAAUUACAAAUUCUUAAAAGAAUGCAACCUAGCUAGGAGUGGUGGUGGGCACCUGUAGUCCCAGCAACUUGGGAGGCUGAGGUGGGAGAAUCACCUGAGGCCAGG